AUGUCGGAGUCGAGCUCCACAGUCUAUUCUCCGGUGUCGCCGCCCCUUACGUCGUCCUUUGGAGUUGUGUUGUUAAUUGUCUUUGCUUUCAAUUCGGUUCUCGCCAGUGAUUAUUCUAUUUGUCGUUUUUGGUGGAUGUUUUCGAUUCGGUGCUCACCUCGGUGGAGGGGUUGGUUCAUCGUCUCUGGAGGUGUUGGUGGUUCCUUCGUUUUCUGGUUUUCUCCUGUGGGCCCACCCGUUUGUGAGAUCUAUCUUUCUUUCAUUUGGAUCUGUAUUAACCAAUUUCAUGCUAUGUUUUACUUCAAACUACUUGAGACAUGUUUGUAUUAG